rnacentral:rRNA from 1 species
CCUACGGGUGGCAGCAGUAGGGAAUAUUGCUCAAUGGGGGAAACCCUGAAGCAGCAACGCCGCGUGGAGGAUGAAGGUUUUAGGAUUGUAAACCCCUUUUAGUAGGGAAGAUUAUGACGGUAUCUAACGAAUAAGCACCGGCUAACUCCGUGCCAGCAGCCGCGGUAAUACGGAGGGUGCAAGCGUUACACGGAUUCACUGGGCGUAAAGAGUGCGUAGGCGGGGGAAUAAGUCAGAUGUGAAAUCCUGUAGCUUAACUACAGAACUGCAUUGGAAACUGUUACUCUGGAGUGUGGGAGAGGUAGGUGGAAUUCUUGGUGUAGGGGUGAAAUGCGUAGAGAUCAAGAGGAACACUCAUGGCGAAGGCGACCUGCUGGAACAUUACUGACGCUGAUGCACGAAAGCGUGGGGAGCAAACAGGAUUAGAUACCCGUGUAGUC